CCUACGGGAGGCAGCAGUGGGGAAUAUUGGGCAAUGGGCGCAAGCCUGACCCAGCAACGCCGCGUGAAGGAAGAAGGCUUUCGGUUUGUAAACCUCUUUUAUCAGGGACGAAGCAAGUGACGGUACCUGACGAAUAAGCCACGGCUAACUACGUGCCAGCAGCCGCGGUAAUACGUAGGUGGCAAGCGUUAUCCGGAUUUACUGGGUGUAAAGGGCGCGUAGGCGGGUGUGUAAGUCAGAUGUGAAAACUAUGGGCUCAACCCAUGGACUGCAUUUGAAACUGUUCUUCUUGAGUGCAGGAGAGGCAAUCGGAAUUCCGUGUGUAGCGGUGAAAUGCGUAGAUAUAAGGAGGAACACCAGUGGCGAAGGCGGAUUGCUGGACAGUAACUGACGCUGAGGCGCGAAAGCGUGGGGAGCAAACAGGAUUAGAUACCCCGGUAGUC
rnacentral:rRNA from 1 species